rnacentral:pre_miRNA from 1 species
UAAUCUGUCUAAGAUAAAUCCUCAUCUAUUUGUAACAGAAACAUAUUUGAAUGCUCAGAAUCACCCGUUAUUGCAAACUCAAAUACAUCAUUCAUAUUAGUUUAAUAUAUUCAAAAGAGUUCAAAAAAUUUUCAAUGCUAGAUUUGAAU